rnacentral:rRNA from 1 species
GACGAACGCUGGCGGCGUGCCUAAUACAUGCAAGUAGAACGCUGAAGGAGGAGCUUGCUUCUCUGGAUGAGUUGCGAACGGGUGAGUAACGCGUAGGUAACCUGCCUGGUAGCGGGGGAUAACUAUUGGAAACGAUAGCUAAUACCGCAUAAGAGUAGAUGUUGCAUGACAUUUGCUUAAAAGGUGCAAUUGCAUCACUACCAGAUGGACCUGCGUUGUAUUAGCUAGUUGGUGGGGUAACGGCUCACCAAGGCGACGAUACAUAGCCGACCUGAGAGGGGGAUCGGCCACACUGGGACGGAGACACGGCCCAUACUCCUACGGGAGGCAGCAGUAGGGAAUCUUCGGCAAGGGACGGAAGUCUGACCGAGAAACGCCGCGGGAGUGAAGAAGGUUUUCGGAUCGGAAAGCUCUGUUGUAAGAGAAGAACGAGUGUGAGAGUGGAAAGUUCACACUGUGACGGUAUCUUACCAGAAAGGGACGGCUAACUACGUG